UGCUAUCAGCUUCCCCAGCGCCAUCUUUACACUGACCCUCCCCGUCAGAAGGGCCUUAAAGAGAGACGAACGCGCCCGAGCACAGUUGACUUUCCGCGGCUUAUACCUAAGCAAGACCAUUCGCCCAGCGACCGAAACGCCAUGCUGAAGUCCAUCGUACCUCUGCUGCUGUGCGCAGCAGCCAUCGGCUAGCGGAUGCCCGACCUGUUUGAAGGCUGCGUGCGGGAUACAGACGACAAUGCGUGCCCAGGCAGAUGCACACUGGUGUCGGAUGUUCUCGGCAACCAGUCUCUCACGAAGUAUGCCAACCAAAUUCUGAUGAUGCCAGCACUGCAGCCACGCACGGGCUAUCUCAACGCACUUUUAGGAAUGACUCGCGUCGCAUUUCAGCAUUCCGCAGAUGGGUCGGAUGAAACGAUCGUUCGAGCCGAGUUCGCCACCGCCCGAAGUGCCUGCAUUGACCGUGUCACCUACUCUACUGAUAGUUGCCCGCCUGCUGUGUCCAAGCCAAAUGGGGUGUGUCAGGCAAGGUACUCCUUGUACCAUGGCGCCAUUAUUCUCCAGCAUGCCUGGUGCAAGCCCUUAGAGUAGGCUUACGAGCUGCCAAGCAAGACUCCGCUUUUGUGGCCCCCUGAAGUACAAAUGUGCCAGGCGUGCGAGCCGCAAGCUUAGGACUGAAUAAAGUGCACUGAACACCUCAUAAGAA